rnacentral:lncRNA from 1 species
UGCAUAGUACACACCCAUUUGUUUCAGCUUCCAUGUUCUUGACAACUCGAAUGCAUCGUCCAGCUAACUGAUCAGCAUGAUCAACUCCUUCUAGUUGACUAGGUGCAGAAGAAUUAACAUUGUACUCUCCAAUAGUCUCGGUCUUGGAAUUUUUCUCGCAGUAUUUGCAAUGCCAGUUACCACGAGGAAUACUUGGAAGGGAAACACAUUCUACAUAGACCAGACAGAUAAAAUGAGAAAAAAUUUAUCGAAAUUUCAACAGAGUGAUCCAAAACAUAAGAAUACAACGGACUCUACUGUUUGAGAGACAUGAUCUGAAAUUCAGAAAAGUGGCUAAAAUGGAAGUGAUCCUGCUUGUAGAUAUAUCCAUACCCUUUUCUAGAUCAGUAUUAUAAUCAUUCAAUCUGAAAGUGUCUCCGCCCCACCAAGCAGUAACUUCUGCAAAGUGGAGUUUAUCCUCGUACAGUCCAUAGAGCAAAACCAAUUUCCUUUAGGUAAUUCCUGUCAGAAAAUCAUAUCAUCCCGUGUUAGCUGAAAUUAUCAAAAAGAUCUAAUAUGGGCACAAACGCAGAAGACUAUACGCUGGGUAUAGAGUUAUAUGCCGUCACCUUUAAAUCCACAAUGUUAUGACUACUCAGACAUCCAAUGUGGUACUCCUUUUCACACUGUUGCAAUGUAAAUAUAAGCAAAAGUAGUAAUUAUUAGUGUGAUAUGCAAAUAAUCUAAUUUAAGAUCUUGCUACGAUUGAGAAAUUACCUGAUCACAUAUUAUGAUCGUUCGUGGCCCGAAUCCGGAUCUGCAAAAAUCAGAACCACUGCGGACAAAAAUAUGUUAAGACGAUUAAUGUACUGGGUUCGUGCACAUAUUAAUAAAAUACUCUCAAACAGGUAAUGCCCUUCUAACUCGAAGGACAUAGUAGUUAAAUAAUUGUUAGCAUACCGCACAUUCAGAAUAAGAAAUUAGACUCGGCCAGAAUAUUUACCUGCAUAGUACACACCCAUUUGUUUCAGCUUCCAUGUUCUUGACAACUCGAAUGCAUCGUCCAGCUAACUGAUCAGCAUGAUCAACUCCUUCUAGUUGACUAGGUGCAGAAGAAUUAACAUUGUACUCUCCAAUAGUCUCGGUCUUGGAAUUUUUCUCGCAGUAUUUGCAAUGCCAGUUACCACGAGGAAUACUUGGAAGGGAAAC